AGCGAACGCUGGCGGCAGGCUUAACACAUGCAAGUCGAACGGGCAUCUUCGGAUGUCGGUGGCAGACGGGUGAGUAACACGUGGGAACGUACCCUUCGGUUCGGAAUAACUCAGGGAAACUUGAGCUAAUACCGGAUACGCCCUUUUGGGGAAAGGUUUACUGCCGAAGGAUCGGCUCGCGUCUGAUUAGCUUGUUGGUGGGGUAACGGCCUACCAAGGCGACGAUCAGUAGCUGGUCUGAGAGGAUGAUCAGCCACACUGGGACUGAGACACGGCCCAGACUCCUACGGGAGGCAGCAGUGGGGAAUAUUGGACAAUGGGCGCAAGCCUGAUCCAGCCAUGCCGCGUGAGUGAUGAAGGCCUUAGGGUUGUAAAGCUCUUUUGUCCGGGACGAUAAUGACGGUACCGGAAGAAUAAGCCCCGGCUAACUUCGUG
rnacentral:rRNA from 1 species